rnacentral:rRNA from 1 species
UACGAAGGGGGCUAGCGUUGCUCGGAAUUACUGGGCGUAAAGCGUGCGUAGGCGGUUGCUUAAGUCAGAUGUGAAAGCCCUGGGCUCAACCUGGGAAUGGCAUUUGAAACUGGGCAGCUAGAGUGUGAUAGAGGAUGGCGGAAUUCCCGGUGUAGCGGUGAAAUGCGUAGAGAUCGGGAGGAACAUCCGUGGCGAAGGCGGCCAUCUGGAUCAACACUGACGCUGAGGCACGAAAGCGUGGGGAGCAAACAGG